UCUUUAGCAGAAAGACGUAUAUUCCUUGCUCAUUAUCAGACAAUCACUUAUUCCCAAACCUCGUGUGGGACUAAUCGUUUUCAUUUACCAUCUCAUGAAAAACCCUUUUCGGAAUUCGUGCCUACUCGGCAUUUCACGAGUUAUGAAAAUGCAAAAAAGGAUACUAAAUCUCGUCGUUAA
rnacentral:rRNA from 1 species